rnacentral:rRNA from 1 species
UAAUGUAUGGGGAUCUGCCCGAUAGAGGGGAAUAACUACUGGAAACGGUGGCUAAUACCGCAUAAUGUCUACGGACCAAAGCAGGGGCUCUUCGGACCUUGCACUAUCGGAUGAACCCAUAUGGGAUUAGCUGGUAGGUGGGGUAAAGGCUCACCUAGGCGACGAUCUCUAGCUGGUCUGAGAGGAUGAUCAGCCACACUGGGACUGAGACACGGCCCAG